AUACGGAGGAUCCGAGCGUUAUCCGGAUUUAUUGGGUUUAAAGGGUGCGCAGGCGGGAGAAUAAGUCGGCGGUGAAAUUUUUCCGCGAAAAUGUAAAAGUGCCCUCGAUACUGGGUUCCUUGAGUGUGGAUGGAGUAGGGGGAAUUUGUGGUGUAGCGGUGGAAUGCAUAGAUAUCACGAGGAACACCGAUUGCGCAGGCAGCUUACUAGGCCAUAACUGACGCUCAGGCACGAAGGCGUGGGGAUCAAACAGGAUUAGAUACCCUGGUAGUCCACGCAGUAAACGAUGAUUACUCGCUGUUUGCGAUACACAGUAAGCGGCUUAGCGAAAGCGUUAAGUAAUCCACCUGGGGAGUACGUUCGCAAGAAUGAAACUCAAAUGAAUUGACGGGG
rnacentral:rRNA from 1 species